UUUCAGAAUCUCUCUACCUCGUCUGCGAGCCUGCCACUGCCAGGUACCCACUCUGCCGUCAGAUGAUGCAUCCGUCAUCCACCACCUGAACAGUCAAACACCCAGACCUACGCAACAUGCUGACAAAUGGUCCAAAAAGGAGGGGAAAAACACAAAGACACAAACGGAGCCACCUGCUUACACAUCCAUGGAACGUGACCUACUAGUUGUGACUUGAGACACCGUCCAGACCGUGUCUAUUGGCCACAGUCCCAGCCACAUGAGCAUCUUGCCCUGCUUCGUCUCUCCAUCGCCAAGUUAGACUUCGUUGAGGACAGCACAUCCAGAAACGUGUAGGAGGGCCAACUUUUGCAAUUGUCUCUCGAAUGAGACGAAAGUAGUACCAUCGGAAUCGCCUCGUCGUGCUGUUGCUCGGGAUGUAUUCGGUUUUCUCCUAUCACCAAUAUCCGGCUCACUACACUGCCGUUGACAAAAAAGGAAAGGAUCUACAUCCUGCACCCGGCCAAUCCUGACUAAACUCGAGCACCACGUUUGAGACGUACUACCAACGUUGUGACGUCAGGGGACCGGAGCGACGUGAAUGGGCUCAGUACAACGAGACACUACACUUGAAAAACGUGUUCGUGGGUGUAUUGUGACGUCAUUGCGAAAGGAAUAACGGUGGUUUUCAACUCGCAGCAAGAGGGACAUGAUCUAUAGUCCCGUCCGACGACACGCGGCGGUUUCGAAUUCCACCGAUUAGACUGAUUUUAUCGAUAACAUAAUCCUUCGCUCGCUAUUUUUAAGCGAGUUGAAUGUCUCUCAGUAGGUUAUAAACACA
rnacentral:misc_RNA from 1 species